CAGCCUGGAGCUGCACCCCAGUUUCUGUCCUCCAAGAACGGAGCCCCAAGGGCUCAUCUCCAGGCCCCUCUCCCUUCACUGCACCCAGUGGGAGAGAGGGCUCUGGGCAACACUGAGUACUGGCAGGAGGGACUGCUGCAGCCAGCGGGAGGAGGCUCUGUGACUUGUACUCUCUCCAGCUGGGGAAGGACAGGAGCAGGGCUGAGGAGUACCUGCGUCAGCACCUGUUGUACCCCAAGGACCCUGAGGCCACUGUGCAAGAGGUGACCAUCAGGUUCAUCAGUGAGCCCCAGCCCCUGGAGUCCCUCUUUCGGCAACCUGGCCCCCAUCCCUGCUCCUGCACCAACAUCGUGGCGCAGCCCUGGGGCUGCCCAAGCCCCAGCUGCCACAUGCUGGGCCUCAACCUCCCUCCGCCACCCCUGCCCAUGCAGCUGGGCUUGGUGGCCACCUUGCUCAGUUCUACCCCCCUGAGCUACUGGUGGUUCCUGGGGUCAUCCCUGCUGAGGGGGAGGAGGGCAGGGCCAGGGGCUGCGCUGCUGGGAGCCUGCUGGGGAGCAGAGGCUGAUGGAGCUUUGUCCCUAGGGGUGGCCACGCGGCACCUGCAGGACCAAAGCACAGAGAAACUGGAUGAGAUCUGCAGUGCCCUUCAGCCCUUGCAGACUGUGGGCAACGAUUUCAUCUCUUACCUGGCAACUCAGGCCAUCUUGAUCCUGACAGCUUUAAAUCUACAGCAAAACCCAAGAUUCAAUCUACAGGCACUGCUCUUUUGGUGCUGCUGAGCCAGUUGGAGGAUGGCUGUGAUUUAUUAACACUGGAACAAUAGGCCCAAAUCCAUGAUGUCCUUCAGAUGCACAGACUGUGCCCUGCUUGGCCUUACUGCUGCCUGCAGGACAACUUUCCCCUCAGCACACCCACAGCCCCAGGCUGUUUGAGAAGUUGAACCCUUACUGAGGCUUUACCCAGGAGAAACCUCAUUUGUGUCUCCUCAGGGCAGUCCCCCCACCAUGCAGCGAGGAUAAGGCACAGAAACUGCGGGCCCUGCUCUGCCUUCCCAUGGGUGUACAGGCAUCCAACGAGGCAUCUGCUGUUACUGCAUCACCACCUCCCCUCACCAUAAUGGGUUUGGAAGGGUUUCCAAGCAGAGUACUGUGGUGUUAAGGAGACCAGAGGGAAACCUCAGAGGUCCUAGAGGGACUGGAGGACAAAAAAAGAGCCUCGGUUGCUGCCACCAUGGGAGAGGAUGGGCCUCCACUGCCAUGUUGCUGCUGACAGGGGCAGCUGACCCUACCCACGGGUCAGGGGCAUGAUGUUCCUUAUAAAUCCUUGUCAGGCUGAACAAAGACACUGGACACAUGUCUGGGAACUCUUAUGUUUUACUGUACAGUCGCCAUAAGUCUGGCAACCAGCCCACUAUUUAGACUGAAAAGAUGUUGGCUAACAAGCCCUUAAUUUCAUACAGUACAUGUCUCUAAGUUCUCAGCUCCCAAAACAAACUCCUCAAAGGUGCUGGCACACAAGCCACUACACAUAAUCAAAGGUGCUGGCUAACAAACCACAACACACCAAUAUUCAGUUGUUCCCCCCAGAGAGGGAAGCCUUUUUACCACCUCGGUUGUAAUAUCUGGAACAUGCAGGACUUGAGUGUAUGUCAAGGGGAAGUACUAGGCUUAGGCAUUUACCUGAAUUGCAAUUAUUCUUUAAAUCAGACAUGAAAAUCACUUACAAAAAGUGUAAUAGUUCAGUAAACUACUGUGAGAUUUAAAAAAAAAACAUAAAAUCUCAGAGGCUGGAGAAUUUCUGAAACUGAAUAAGCUUAGGAAAAAAAGAAAUAUUACCCCUCAUCCAUUCCUUUAUUGUUUUAACAAUGUGCCUAAUAAUAAAGUUUUGAGGUUUGGUUUCUUUUUUUGGUCUUUUUUUUUUUUUACUAAGUAAGCUUGAAAAUAUACAAAAAUAUGUUAGCAUAAUUUUCCUCAUUAAUUAUUUUUGUGUUUGCCUAUCUACUUCUUGGUCAUUUUCUAAAAAUGAUGUCCUUAACACUCCUUAAAUUGUAGUUGAAAGUGAAAGUGGUUGCAGUCGUCAAGCUACCACGAAAAAAGGGGACACAGGUGUCAUAUCCCCUUUUACACACUGAGGAUGUUAGUAUGAAAAUUACUUAACCUCAAAAGAGGGCUUCAGUGACUUCAGGUACUGAGUAGUGAGUCCCGAGUCAUGGGAAUCUGCAAUGGGGACAUUGUCCUUGCUAUUUGCUGGUCAUAACUCUGAGCAGCUCUCCAUCUACACUUCUAGACAUUCAUUUCUGUCUUCCAGAGGCAAUUGUUUCUCUCCAUUGACUGUCUAAAGAACCUAAGCAUCUGUCUGAGGUGCUCUGGUUGAUUGUGUUGGAAUUAGUCAUCUAUGUUUUAGGUGCUGUGGUUCUUGACUUCAAAAUGAGAAACAGCAGUGUUGUUAUAAGUAUUUCAACACAGAAUUCUGUAUACAAAGGACAUGAGUAAUAAAAGAGAAGGCCCGUAUUCAGAAUUAAAA